rnacentral:rRNA from 1 species
UGGGGAAUAUUGCACAAUGGGCGCAAGCCUGAUGCAGCCAUGCCGCGUGUAUGAAGAAGGCCUUCGGGUUGUAAAGUACUUUCAGUCGGGAGGAAGGUGUCAAGGUUAAUAACCUUGGCAAUUGACGUUACCGACAGAAGAAGCACCGGCUAACUCCGUGCCAGCAGCCGCGGUAAUACGGAGGGUGCAAGCGUUAAUCGGAAUUACUGGGCGUAAAGCGCACGCAGGCGGUUGAUUGAGUCAGAUGUGAAAUCCCCGGGCUCAACCUGGGAACUGCAUCUGAUACUGGCAAGCUUGAGUCUCGUAGAGGGGGGUAGAAUUCCAGGUGUAGCGGUGAAAUGCGUAGAGAUCUGGAGGAAUACCGGUGGCGAAGGCGGCCCCCUGGACAAAGACUGACGCUCAGGUGCGAAAGCGUGGGGAGCAAACAGG